rnacentral:rRNA from 1 species
UGGGGAAUCUUGCGCAAUGGGCGAAAGCCUGACGCAGCGACGCCGCGUGAGUGAUGAAGGCCUUCGGGUUGUAAAGCUCUGUGGGGAGAGACGAAUAAGGUCCACCUAACACGUGGAUCGAUGACGGUAUCUCCUUAGCAAGCACCGGCUAACUCUGUGCCAGCAGCCGCGGUAAGACAGAGGGUGCAAACGUUGUUCGGAAUUACUGGGCGUAAAGCGCGUGUAGGCGGCAGGGCAUGUCGGAUGUGAAAUCCCGUGGCUCAACCACGGAAGUGCACCCGAAACUGCCCAGCUUGAGUCUCGGAGAGGAAGGCGGAAUGCUUGGUGUAGAGGUGAAAUUCGUAGAUAUCAAGCGGAACACCGGUGGCGAAGGCGGCCUUCUGGACGAUGACUGACGCUGAGACGCGAAAGCGUGGGGAGCAAACAGGAUUAGAUACCCCCGUAGUCC